ACACUCAAUUCAGCAGCACAUAUACUAAAAUUUGAACAAUAUAGAGAAGAUUAGCAUGGCCCCUGUACAAAGAUGACUCUCAAAUUUGUGAAGCAUUUCAUAUUUAA
ensembl:snRNA U6 U6 spliceosomal RNA